UACGUAGGGUGCGAGCGUUAAUCGGAAUUACUGGGCGUAAAGCGUGCGCAGGCGGUUUUGUAAGCCAGAUGUGAAAUCCCCGGGCUUAACCUGGGAAUGGCAUUUGGGACUGCAAGGCUCGAGUGCGGCAGAGGAGACUGGAAUUCCUGGUGUAGCAGUGAAAUGCGUAGAUAUCGUAAGGAAGACCAGUGGCGAAGGCGAAUCUCUGGACAGUUACUGACACUGAGGCACGAAGGCCAGGGGAGCAAACGGG
rnacentral:rRNA from 1 species